rnacentral:rRNA from 1 species
GAUGAACGCUGGCGGCGUGCCUAAUACAUGCAAGUCGAGCGAACAGAUGAGGAGCUUGCUCCUCUGACGUUAGCGGCGGACGGGUGAGUAACACGUGGAUAACCUACCUAUAAGACUGGGAUAACUUCGGGAAACCGGAGCUAAUACCGGAUAAUAUAUUGAACCGCAUGGUUCAAUAGUGAAAGACGGUUUUGCUGUCACUUAUAGAUGGAUCCGCGCCGCAUUAGCUAGUUGGUAAGGUAACGGCUUACCAAGGCAACGAUGCGUAGCCGACCUGAGAGGGUGAUCGGCCACACUGGAGCUGAGACACGGUCCAGACUCCUACGGGAGGCAGCAGUAGGGAAUCUUCCGCAAUGGGCGAAAGCCUGACGGAGCAACGCCGCGUGAGUGAUGAAGGUCUUCGGAUCGUAAAACUCUGUUAUUAGGGAAGAACAAAUGUGUAAGUAACUAUGCACGUCGUGACGGUACCUAAUCAGAAAGCCACGGCUAACUACGUG